AAUAAAAUACAUAAAGAACUUUCCAAACUCAAUAGAAAAAAAAAAAAAAACAAUUAGGAAGUAGGCAAAAGACAUGAGAAGGAUACACAGGCAGCAAAUGAACACGUGAAAAGAUGUUCAGCAUCAUUAGCCAUUGGGAAAAUGCAAAUUUAGAUCAUAAUGUGAUAUCACUAUACAUCUAUCAGAGUGGACAAAAUAAAAACCAACAGCAAAUGUGGCAAGGACGCUGAGAAACUAGAUGACUCAAGCAUUGCUGGUGGGAAUAUAAAAUGGUACCACCAGUCUGGAAAAGUUUGGCGAUUUCUUAUAAAGCUAAACAUGCUACUGUCAUACCUCCCAGCAAUUACACUCUUGGGCAUUUGUCCCAGAAAAAUGAAAACUAUGUUUACACAAAAACAUGUAUGUGAAUGUUCAUAGUGGCUUUGAUCCUAUAGCCAAAAACUGGAAAUGACUCAGGCGUCCUUCAGCAGAUAACUAGUUAAACAGAUUGUGCUACAUCCGUACUGUGAAAUACUGCUCAGCAAUAAGAAGCAACAAACUUGAUACACACCACAAUUUGGAUGGAUCCUAAGAGCAGUAUGCUGAGUGAAAAAAGCCUAUCUGUCUCGAAAGUUUAUAUAUUGCAUGGUUCCAUUUAUGUAACAUUUUCAAAAUGACCAAAUUUUAGAGAAAGGUAACAGAUGAAUGAUUGUCAGGACUUGGGGAUGGUCAGGAUGGAGGGAUGGGAGUCACUGUAAAGGAGGUAGCAGGAGGGAAAUCUUUAUGGUGAUAAAAUAGUUUCCUAUCUUGAUUGUGAUUGAGGUUGCAUGAAUCUACACUUGUGAUUAAAUGGCCUAGAAUUAUACACUUAUACACACACAAAUGAGUGCAUGUAAAAUUAGUGACAUCUUAAUAAGAUCUGUGAAUUGCACCAAUGUCAAUUUCCUGGUUUUGAUAUUGAACCAUAGUUAUGUAAGAUGUUAACAUGUGGGGAAACCUGGAAAAGGGUGUGUGGGACCUCUCUGUACUCCUUUUUUUUUUUUUUUUUUUUUUUUGGCAACUUCCUGUUAAUUUAUAAUUAUUUUAAAAGUAAAAGGUAAGUACGAAAAAGGAAUGAACUUCUAUUGAUACAUGCACAAAUUUGCAUGAACCUCAAAGGCAUUAUGCUGAGUUUUAAAAAAGCCUAUCUUAAAAGGUUACAGACUGAUUCCAUUUAUAUGGCAUUCUCAAAAAGACAACACUACAAUGAUGGAGAAUAGAUCAGUGGUUGCCAGGUGGUGGGGAGAAAGGAAGAUGUGAUUGCAAAAGGAUAGCACAAGAGGAUUUUGGGGGUUAUGGAACCCCUCUCUGUCAUGAAUCUAUACAUAUGUUUAAAAUCAGAUCUGCACAUGCACAAAUGUUAAUUUUACUGUAGAUUAAUUUAAAAUUAAAAUUAAAGUAGAUAGGCAAGUAAUUUGUUUCUGAAUUGUUUCUUAUUUCCUUCCUUCCUUACUUUCAUUCAUCCAUUCGCUCAGCCAUUUACUGAGCACCUACUAUGAGUGAGGCACUGUGCCAGACUGUGGAGAUCAACCAAAAGGAAUCUGAAGCAUGUGGUCUAGUUGACAGAAAGAGAUCAGGUUUCCAGAGCUGAGGAGUGGUGCCUAUAAUGAAGACAGCCUGUUUAUGCGAGCAGCUUGUGGAAUUUGUGACUGCAGGGGAAAUUUUAAAGAAAUUACUUCCUGAAAAUUUCCAAGGGGCACCAAGUGGCAACUGGCUUCCUGGGGUGAGGAGACAGGCACCCCAGAGUCCUCAACUGGGCCUAGGGGAAGAGAGAGAUAUCCCACAUUUAGAGUUCUUAUUUAAACACACACACACACACACACACACACACACACACACACACACACACACACAAUGCAGUUUUUAAUCUUUGAAGAUUAUUUUUAAGCGAAUUGGGGAGGGGAGUAUUUUUAUUGUCUUAAAGGAAACAGACUAGAAGCUGGAUGCGAGCAGGGAGCUUUUGUCACCAGUUUGUGAAGCAUGAGGCUGCUGAAAGGCAGGGUUUGGGCCUCAGGACCAUCCAGGUAGAGCCCUGGGAGGGGGGUACUGAUCAGCAGACUGGGAGGUGAGGAGAAGUCCACUGGUGUCAUUUUAGUGUUAUGUAUCUUUGUUUUUUUAAUAAAAUCUUUGAAAACCUA